rnacentral:rRNA from 1 species
GACGAACGCUGGCGGCGUGCUUAACACAUGCAAGUCGAACGGAAAGGCCCUGCUUUUGUGGGGUGCUCGAGUGGCGAACGGGUGUGUAACACGUGAGUAACCUCCCCUUGUCUUUGGGAUAACUCCAGGAAACUGGGGCUAUAACCGGAUAGGAUCUCUUGCUCCAUGUUGGGGGUUGGAAAGUUUCGGCGGUUGGGGCUGGACUCGCUGCUUAUCCGCUUGUUUGUGGGGUAGUGGCUUACCAAGGCUUUGACGGGUAGCCGGCCUGAGAGGGUGACCGGCCACAUUGGGACUGAGAUACGGCUCAGACUCCUACGGGAGGCAGCAGUGGGGAAUAUUGCACAAUGGGCGGAAGCCUGAUGCAGCAACGCCGCGUGCGGGAUGACGGCCUUCGGGUUGUAAACCGCUUUCGCCUGUGACGAAGCGUGAGUGACGGUAAUGGGUAAAGAAGCACCGGCUAACUACGUG